rnacentral:tRNA from 1 species
CCUUCGAUAGCUCAGUUGGUAGAGCGGAGGACUGUAGUUGGAAUCAAGCUGAAAUCCUUAGGUCGCUGGUUCAAAUCCGGCUCGAAGGA